GAUGAACGCUGGCGGCGUGCCUAAUACAUGCAAGUCGAGCGAACAGACGAGGAGCUUGCUCCUUUGACGUUAGCGGCGGACGGGUGAGUAACACGUAGGUAACCUACCUAUAAGACUGGGAUAACUUCGGGAAACCGGAGCUAAUACCGGAUAAUAUUUCGAACCGCAUGGUUCGAUAGUGAAAGAUGGCUUUGCUAUCACUUAUAGAUGGACCUGCGCCGUAUUAGCUAGUUGGUAAGGUAACGGCUUACCAAGGCAACGAUACGUAGCCGACCUGAGAGGGUGAUCGGCCACACUGGAACUGAGACACGGUCCAGACUCCUACGGGAGGCAGCAGUAGGGAAUCUUGCGCAAUGGGCGAAAGCCUGACGGAGCAACGCCGCGUGAGUGAUGAAGGUCUUCGGAUCGUAAAACUCUGUUAUUAGGGAAGAACAAACGUGUAAGUAACUGUGCACGUCUUGACGGUACCUAAUCAGAAAGCCACGGCUAACUACGUG
rnacentral:rRNA from 1 species